AUUAUCAAAGAAUAAUACAGAGAAAAGGAUACUGAUGGUAAAAGAGUAAAUGGGUAAACAGAAUUUGGAAAAUUAAAAAAAUUUUUUUCUACGUCCCGUUACGGGACUCCGUCGCCGAUUGAUUUGAUUUAAUACCGCAUGGGGUUCUUAUUAGAUCUCUUUUCUAUAGUUGGGUCUUUUAUAUGUCUAUACGUCCCUGACGACGACGUAUCCUCCUUCAUCCAGCCGCCUCCAUUCUGAAGUCGACGUGAUUUCACUUACGAGAUGAAACUUCUCGUCGAUCAACAAGGAAAGAAUCUAUGUCCCGGAUCUCUGCAGUCUUUCAGCAUCGUUCUCUUUGUCUCAAUGAAUUUUCUACGUACGUCUAGGGCAUCACGUGUAACUUUAACAUCGCGAUGGCAGCUGACUCUUUACUCACCGUAAAACGACCACUGACCAUUACCUGAAACCAGAGAGAUAAAUCCGUAGCAGCCGUGCUCUAUAAUUCGGUACACAAGUGGCUAGUUAGUCGUUGAAACAGUUGCUGGGAGGUUCCCGACCGCAUUGCAGUUCUCCGCUAUUGGAUAUAGGCUGUGGUCGACUUUGCAAGCCCAGUUUUUUUCCACUGCGGCAUGAAGCCAUAGCUACCAUGGAAAAAUAUAUUUCACGGAUUUUCGUUAUGCCUUCACGGUGCUGUUGUCGUACACCAACUCGUGUCCGUCCAUGCGGAAGAUGUGGGUCAGCAUUGUCAAGCAGGAUGAACGUGGAGUUCCAGCUAGUAUUUUCUUUUUUCACUAAAAGGCUGUCCACACCCAAAUACAUUGGGGCUUUGCUACUGCCACCCGGAAGGGCCUGAAUCUAGUACACAUGCGUAAAACUGCCGCUACGCGCAUGGGCUCUGUGAAAUGUGCCAAGCGGAAAUUAAUAUGCUUCAUAACGAGCAACUGGGUGUCCGUGAAAUUCUUAUCGUAAUCUUAAGAGUUUUCGGUCGACGGCACGAAACCUUGAGAUUAUAGGAAUAUAAAGCAUACUCGUGUGCCUUAUUGUUAGACAGAAGGUAGUAUCGAUCCGUCAAAUAAUUUUUACCAUCAUUGUACUUCUGUCUGUAUAACGAUAACGACUUGAAUCUACUAGACUAGGUGCAGCGACGUAUCACAUAAAGCAGGAUAAAAAUAGGCUAUAUGUAAAACGUAUGCUGUUAUACCUGUCUCAGUACGUAUUCUAAACAUAGAAAUUGCUCGACUUUGCGAUUCUGCGAAAAAAUGGCCCAAGGUGCUGCUUUUCCGGGCGAGCUAAUUUUGCUGCAUAAAUAAACAAUGGAAACGGACUGGUUAAGGGCUCGCCAGUGAAAGCUAUUCCACCCCAACCUGGGAAGCUUGUCCCAAAGCUGCCACCCUCUCGACUCUUUUCUGCCCUCUUCAUGCCUUGG